CCAAAAACUGCAAAAUUUCCUUAAAAUUACCAAUUAAGUGGCAGCAACCCAACAAUGGUUGGUUUGAUUCAUCUGAAAAUUUCAGGGCUGAUAGAUCUUGACCUAAUGAACAUUUUUACUCCAUCUCAGAUUUGCUCUAAAUGCUUUCGUUUUUGAGAUAUAAGCCAAAAACUGCAUUUGACCCCUAUGUUCUAUUUUAAGUAACGGCGGCCAUGUUUUUUGACGGACCAAAAAUCGAAGCACACACUUUGUGCAGGAUAAUCUAAGGAACAAUCAUGCUAAGUUUCAUUCAAAUCCAUUCAGUAGUUUCAGAGGAGAAGAUGUUUGAAAAAUUGUUAACGACGACGACGACGACGACGACGACGACGGACGCCAAGUGAUGAGAAAAGCUCACAUGGCCUUUUAGGCCAGGUGAGCUAAAAAAGUUCUCUCAGAACAU
rnacentral:lncRNA from 1 species